rnacentral:rRNA from 1 species
AUUGAACGCUGGCGGCAGGCUUAACACAUGCAAGUCGAGCGGAGAUGAGGUGCUUGCACCUUAUCUUAGCGGCGGACGGGUGAGUAAUGCUUAGGAAUCUGCCUAUUAGUGGGGGACAACAUUCCGAAAGGAAUGCUAAUACCGCAUACGUCCUACGGGAGAAAGCAGGGGAUCUUCGGACCUCGCGCUAAUAGAUGAGCCUAAGUCGGAUUAGCUAGUUGGUGGGGUAAAGGCCUACCAAGGCGACGAUCUGUAGCCGGUCUGAGAGGAUGAUCCGCCACACUGGGACUUAGACACGGCCCAGACUCCUACGGGAGGCAGCAGUGGGGAAUAUUGGACAAUGGGGGGAACCCUGAUCCAGCCAUGCCGCGUGUGUGAAGAAGGCCUUAUGGUUGUAAAGCACUUUAAGCGAGGAGGAGGCUACUGAGACUAAUACUCUUGGAUAGUGGACGUUACUCGCAGAAUAAGCACCGGCUAACUCUGUGCCAGCAGCCGCGGUAAGAC